rnacentral:rRNA from 1 species
CCUACGGGUUGCAGCAGUGGGGAAUAUUGGACAAUGGGCGCAAGCCUGAUCCAGCCAUGCCGCGUGAGUGAUGAAGGCCCUAGGGUUGUAAAGCUCUUUCACCGGUGAAGAUAAUGACGGUAACCGGAGAAGAAGCCCCGGCUAACUUCGUGCCAGCAGCCGCGGUAAUACGAAGGGGGCUAGCGUUGUUCGGAUUUACUGGGCGUAAAGCGCACGUAGGCGGACUAUUAAGUCAGGGGUGAAAUCCCGGGGCUCAACCCCGGAACUGCCUUUGAUACUGGUAGUCUUGAGUUCGAGAGAGGUGAGUGGAAUUCCGAGUGUAGAGGUGAAAUUCGUAGAUAUUCGGAGGAACACCAGUGGCGAAGGCGGCUCACUGGCUCGAUACUGACGCUGAGGUGCGAAAGCGUGGGGAGCAAACAGGAUUAGAUACCCGAGUAGUC